UUAGAUGAACAAAGGGAAGAUGAUAUAAAGACACUGGAAAAGAUGAUCAUCUACAAGCCAAGGAGGGUCCUGGUACAGAUACUUCCAUCAAGGGCCUCAGAAGGAACUCAUCCUGCCCACACCUUGAUCUGAACUUCUGGACUCCAGAACUAGCCUCCAUAAAGAAAUGCAGCUAUGCUGACACCUUGGUUUCAGCCUAGUGAGGUCUGUAUCAGAUAUCUGGCUUCCAGAACUAUGAAUGGUAGAAUCAUUUUAUCAAAUAACAGAGGAUUCCAUUAGAGCUGUGAUUGGAUGUUCUAAAAAUGAGAAAUUGAUGGAUAAAUACUGUGUAACAGAAGAUGACAAGGAAGAGAAUGCAAAUCCGCACAGAUUAUUUUGCCUCAGUAACUCGGCCACUUUUGUGGCUAAAGGACAGCUUUGAUUGUGAAGCAGCAAUUUGGAGCAGCAGGAAGGUCAAACAGGCCAUUAUUUUGGCAUUGAAGACUUCGGCUUGGCUGGGCACGUAGAGAUUUUCCUUUCCUCUCUCCCUCUCACCCGUGGAUGGGUUAGUUAACAACCAGCAGAGCAGCCAGCUUGACAUGAGGAGGAGGAUGCCAGGAGCACAGAUGGUCCACAACCCAGAUAAUUAGCUUCCGAAGAAGAAAUAACAUCUACUAAGUCUUCUGUGAAUGCAGUUUGGUUGGUCACAACUGGGGCAGAGAACAAGCAAGCACCCUCAACAACUCUUUUUUAUCUCUGAAAAUGUCAGCAGAGCACUCACCCACUUCCGAUGGACAACCACCUACUCAUAAGAUCUGCAGGGAAGAAUUCAAGUAAAUAUUGUAGACACUCCACCCUAAAGGAGGGGGAACAUAAGUCUCCACUCCUUAAGUGUGGGAUGCACAGAGUGACUUUCUUUCAAUGAGUAUAAGAUGGAAGAAGGGAGAGGGGAGAGUAAUUCUACUACUGUGCCAAGUGGCAAAGGUCAGUAUCAACAGUCAUAAAUUAGGUUGAUAGUAUCUACUUUCGGUAUAUGAGGUGAUAAAAAUGCACUUUAUCUCUGUGUUCUUCCUCCCUCAAACCCAUGGUCACAGUCUAAUCAUGAGAAAACCAUCAGACCAAUUCCAAUAGAGGAGCAUCCUACAGUAUUUCUGGCCAGUACUCCUCAAAGUCUUCAAAAAACAAGAAAAUCCGAGAAACUGUCACAACCCAGAGGAGCCCACAACAACUAUAGGUAAUAUGGUAUCCUGGAUGGGAUCUUGGAACAGAAAGAGGACAUUAGAUAAAAACUAAGGAAACUUGAAUAAAACAUGUACUUAGUUAAAAUGUUUUCAAUAUUGGUUCAUGAGUUGUAAUAAAUGUACUAUAACUGAUGAUGAUAAAGAAAGCUGUGAGGAGGCAUAUGGGAACUCGUACUUUCUUCU